AAAGUAGUAUGGAGUGGGUUAUUACUUUUGGUACACGGGUUAAUACAAACACUAUUCACUCCCCCUUUCUUCUUCAUGGUACUGUUGACUACUCUCUCUCCCCUUUCGUCACCCUUCAUUUUCACUUCCUAAAUCCCUCCAUCUCCCUCACCUACUCUCUUCACACAUCAAAAUACUUCCUUCACUUCCACCAAACUCCCUCUCGAAGGUGUUUUCCGUCUCGCCUUCGAAGGUGCCUCCAUCGUUAUUUCUUCCCACCGACAGUUUAAUUCAUAUUCCUAAUUCUUCUUUUUUCUUUUAACCUCAAAUUUUAACAUCCUUACCCUUCAUUCUGCUGUUUUCCUUUACGAUCCUGUCCAGGCUUCAUAAAUUACUAACUUCUAAUCAAUAGUCAGGUAUCAAAUGCACAAUAAAGGAAGAAUCCGGUGGAAAAGACUAUCCAGAAAUAUGGAAAAAUAGACGUAGUUGUAUCAAAUGCAGCUGGCAAUCCAUCAGUUGAUUCCAUUUUGCAAACUAAACAAUCUAUACUUGACAAGCUGUGGGACGUAAAUGUUAAAGCUUCAGUCCUCCUUUUGCAGGUUAACGAACCUAUGUUCCUUGUACCACUACAAGAAGGGGGUUUGCCGAAGUAGAGAUGCGUCAGUAGAAGCCAAGAUUGCGUCGGAAGAGGCUAUGUUGACGCAGAAACGGAUGUCGACAAGAAUGUCAUGAGAGACGGGUCAUGAAAGGCACUCCCAAUGCGCGAACGGGACGAUGUCGAUAAAGGGUUACAAUCGACGCACUGUUCACCGACAUGGUCAACACGUUGGUAGUGGGGAACUACCAACGUCUGGUAAUUAACGGCGUUGCAAAUAGGUUACUGCCGACGUCGUCAAGUUCGUCGGCAUACAUGAACCACCGACGCGGCGUCGGCAUAUCUUCUGACGACACCGCGUAGGCAAAAUAACCAUUAGCGAUGCAUAAUGUGCAUCCCGAAAUCCUUAUUAUAAUAUUUUUUAAUUUUCUUUUAUUUAAUUUUAAAUUUUUUUGCAAAUUGGAAUCAAAUUUGAUUUAAAUUCACAAAUACUAAAAACAAUUAACGUAAAUAGAAUAAAAUACCAAAUGAAAUUUAUAUUAAAAAUAAUUAAAAAAUACACGUUCGUAGUCCAGAAAUUACAUACAUAAUAAAAAUGAAAAACUUAAACUAAACACACAAUCUAAUCGUCGGUGUCCCAUGAAAGUUUCCCAUGCCUUUGAACCUACAAUGUCAAAAAAUUAAGUUUAAAUAUAUAUCAUCAAUAAUAUAAAAUUAAAGAACGUAAAAGUUGAAAAUUACGUACCUCAAUGAAAUUAAGGUUCUCUCGAAACCCGUAGAGGCCUUCAAUCAUUUUCCUCAUUUCUUCCAUCUGUCGAGCUUGUGCUUCCAUAUGGCGAGUCUAUGCUUCUAUCAAGUGAGCACUUUCUUCGUGCUUUCUGUUACUCUCUUCUUCUACUACCUCAAGAUGAGUUUUUAGCUCAUUAACCUCUCUAGCGUGGGCUAGCUCUCGCUUGACAGAUCUAGAUAAAGAACUACCAGUAAUGUGUCGAGACUUUGGCUAGUGAAGGUACAAUUCAUUGUGCCUAUGUGGAAAAGGUUACCGUUAGAAUUGUGUCUAUGUCAAUAGAAUGAUGGUAAGGUGUUUUAACACCCAUGUUUCAUGUUAUGAAUGGGUUAUAAUUAAAUGAUCAAGUACAAUUUAUGAUAUGUAUUUCAAACGUUUAUAAGUUUUAAGAUACAUGCUUAUGAAAUUUGAUUAACUACUUGACUGUUCCUAAAACUUAAAGAUUUAUGCAUAACUAUUUUGAAAAGCAUGUUUAAUAAAAUCGUCACUCACUAAAUCUUUUAACUUAUUCUUUCAAAUGCUUUCUCACUUUCCAAGUAAUGAUUAUCGUGCCAAGCCUGCCCUACAAAUGUUAUCCGCUAUUUGUGAGUUGAGGUUAAUUUAUCUUUUAGUUAGCAUGUUUAUGUUUGAGUAUGAGUUUCAAGUUGUGGGCCUACAUAGUAAGUUAUUAUCAAGUCUAUGUUUUUGCUGAGUUUCUGUCAAAGACUGCAACUAGUAGUCCAACUUGUUUGCAAAUCAUUUAGCUUGUGUUGUUUCUUAUAAGCAUGCAUUAUUUGUGUUAUGACUAUUGGUUGAGUCAGGUAGGUUAGUUGGUUGGUAAAUGUUGUCCAAUUAUGGCAAUGCUUGCCAGCCCUUGUAACCUCUUUUGGAAUUAGGUUAGGAGUUAGAGAAGGGACUUCUAGAGGGGUGUGAUAGGAAACACUCUGAAACUUCUCGAAUCAACAAAACACUCUACAUGUAUAACAUGUUUUUUUACAGUAGAAAACAUCGACAAAAGCUUGCUUAUCUCUCUCAUUUCUUAAAUAAAUUACCGCAAAUUUCUUUCGUAAAACUUAUAAAAAACCUUUUAAAUAACUAACAUAUGAAUUUGGAGCUUUAAAAUUGCUUGAAUUGAUCAGAAUCAACCUAAAAACAACUUUGCUUUCAUUUACCUGAAAUCUUAUACAUUAUUACGUUCCUUAUUAUUCUAGUCAUUUCAAGCAAGAAUUAGCUCUUAAAUCCUUCAUGAGAAAUGUAGAAAAGACCGCUAUCUUACUAACCUCCAAAAUUCAAUAUCUAACUCGUUCUCUACACUUCAGAAUUGUUAAAACACUAGAGUGCUACAAAUAAACCCAAAAAUCUGCCAAGCUUGCUAUUUUCCUCCAAUUUUCUUCGGCUUCUCAACCAUAUCUUUCCAUGGCAGCCAAGAUCCAUCUUCUUCGAGCAAUUAUCUCCACUUCUUCUAUAGCAAGCUUGAUGAAAGAGUUUUUAGAAAUGGUUGCACCGAUGGACUUAAGAAUAUGGUUUUUUUUCCUUCUCAUGGUCGACCAAACUUUCUUCUCCACCUUAAACACCUUCCACCUUCGACCUCCUACUUUCAUUUUGGUGGCCACCACUUAACAUCCAUCCAAAUUCCACUUAAACCUUUUAAAAUUUUACGUAAAACUUAAUGGAUAAAUAAACCAUUACAAUCCUUCUUUGAAGAAAUAAAGAUGAAUUAAAUUCUUUUUAUUAUUUAAGGAUUAUUUAAAAAAAGGUAAAAAAUAUAUUUGUUUUGGAAGAUAAAAGAUCUUCCUCAUAGAUAAGAAUAUGAGAUUCUUUUUAUUAUUUAAGGAUUAUUUAAUAAAGAGGUUAAAAAGAUAUUUAUUUUAAAAGAUAAAAUAUCUUUCUCAUGAAUAGGAAUCUUUUAUCUAUAUCUAAGAUUUCGAAGAUUUGAUAGGUGGCUAUAUAUUGAAGCUUUAUGCCUGGUUCGUGGUGGGCAUCACUGGACAUUCAAUUUGCAAGCAUUCUUUCGGGAGAAAGGUUUCAAAGCUCGGGCUUAAAGUUUUAAGGUUAUAAGGAAUUUGGAAGCAUUGAGAAUCAUUGUCUAGCAGCUUAGAGUUUAGACGGUCGCCGUUUGGUUGAAGUUGUGAAGGAUUGAAGCAAGACUAAGUUGGGUUUCGAUUCAAGGUGGUGAAAUUGGAUUUAGAAGUGGGCUGCUUGCAUAUUUGUUAUUUGUGACUAAAUUGAGUUUUUCCUCUCAAAGUGGUUGCUGGAAAUUGAGGAAGGAGUUAGAGAAGAAGAUUAGAGAAAGUUGAGAAGCAAUUUCAAGUUUGGCUGAAAUUUAGAGCAAGCUGAGUAAUCUCUUAUUUCUAGGGAAGAACAAGUUGUAGAGGUGGAAGUCGAGGGUUGUCUGGAAUCUCGAAUCUGGAAUAACCUCUAAAUUGAGGGAAUUUCUGAACAAUUCAAGGGUUUUUAGAUCUUCGUAUCUUCAUAUAAGUUGCAGAGGACUUAAAAUAAAGAGUUUGACACAAAACUCACAUGAUUUGGUUAAGUAUUGGCUGAGUUGUGAAUUUUUGAAGUUGGGGUUAAAUAUGAAAAUUGUUGGAAUUUGUUCCUAUCUAUUGUGCGCACGCCUCAUGGUCAAGACAACCCCCAACACGCUUUAGCACGCCUUUAAGCCUUCCAGCACGCCCAUCCUUGUCCACAUGGAGGUGUCACCAGCCCAUAGCACCUAAACUUGGGUAGUCAAAGCUUAUUUUGAAGUUUUGAUGCCUUCAACGUGCUACUCCCACUUCCAGGAGACGACGACGCUCCAAGAACCUGGAGUUGGAGAGAUAUGUUGCACAGAAUGGGAAGAUCCCCAUAUCUAUCGCUCAAGGCUAGGACAAGCCUAUCUCGCCAUAUGCUGUUCACUUUAGCAAUACCAUCAGUGUGUUAACGCAAGAUACUUUUCCAGUUUGCUUUUUUAAGUGGGCUGAUGUGACACUAGAGUACAUCAUUCUCGUUAAGGGCAGUUCAAAGCAUCAGAUGCUCAGUGUAUGGAAGUUUAGGGGAUAGAACCACCCCCAUUUUAAGAAGUUCAAUGAUCCUGAACAGGCUCGUGCCAACCCACCCCCAUAUUGAGCAAUCGAGUUCAAGAUUGGCACUUCCUCUACGACCAUUACCUCACUCGACAAUUUCAGGGCUACUAGAGCGAGGCACCACUACAACUACAGUAGCUACGCCAAGUUAUUUCUACACUGACAACACGAGCUCGCUGAACAGCAGAAUCAUCCGAUCGACCAUGUGAAGUUAUUCAAGAAAACACACGCUCGGGGUGGCCAGUUUGUUUCACAAGUGGCUGCAAUCAAAUGUUGGAACUCCAGUCCCAGCCUACCCUAGAGGGUUUUCAACCACUCACUAGGAAUGAAAUAUGCUAGACCAUUUUGAGUAAACGACUAGACUACUCAAAAGGUCUUGGGUGGGACACCAAGCCAAAGUCCCGACACACUACAAGUAGUUCUUCAUCUCCAUCUGUCGAGCGAGAGCUAGCCUACGUCAGAGAGGUUAACGACGAGCUAAAAACUCAUCUUGAGGUAGUAGAAGAAGAGAUUCACAGGAAGCAUGAAGAAAGUAUUCGCCUGAUUGUAGCAUAGACUCGCCUAUGGAAGAACAUGCGCGCUAUAUUCAAGAACAUGCUUGACAGAUGGAAGAAAUGAGGAAGAUGAUUGAAGACAUCUCCUGGGCUUCGAGAGAUCCUUCAUUUCAUUGAGGUUCGAAGGCAUAGGAAACUUCCAUUUCGUAGGACAUCGAUGUAGAUUAUGUGUUUAGUUUUAUGUUUUUAAAGUUUAAGUUUUUUGUUUUCAUUAUGUAUGUAAUUUAUGUAUUGGAACGUGUACUUUUGACUUAUUUUUAAUUAAAUUUCAUUUGGUAUUUCA